AAGGAUUCCCCUAGUAACUGCGAGUGAAGCGGGAAAAGCUCAAAUUUAAAAUCUGGUAGUCUUUGGCUGCCCGAGUUGUAAUCUAGAGAAGCGUUAUCCGCGCUGGACCGUGUAUAAGUCUCCUGGAAUGGAGCGUCAUAGAGGGUGAGAAUCCCGUCUUUAACACGGACUACCAGGGCUUUGUGAUGCGCUCUCAAAGAGUCGAGUUGUUUGGGAAUGCAGCUCUAAAUGGGUGGUAAAUUCCAUCUAAAGCUAAAUAUUGGCGAGAGACCGAUAGCGAACAAGUACCGUGAGGGAAAGAUGAAAAGAACUUUGGAAAGAGAGUUAAACAGUACGUGAAAUUGUUGAAAGGGAAACGCUUGAAGUCAGUCGCGUUGGUCAGGGAUCAACCUUGCUUUUGCUUGGUGUACUUCCUGGUUAACGGGUCAGCAUCAAUUUUGACCAGUGGAAAAAGGUCAGGGGAAUGUGGCAUCUUCGGAUGUGUUAUAGCCUCUGGUCAUAUACAUUGGUUGGGAUUGAGGAACUCAGCACGCCGCAAGGCCGGGUUUUACCACGUUCGUGCUUAGGAUGCUGGCAUAAUGGCUUUAAUCGACCCGUCUUGAAACACGGACCAAGGAGUCUAACAUGCCUGCGAGUGUUUGGGUGGAAAACCCAUGCGCGUAAUGAAAGUGAAAGUUGGGAUCCCUGUCGUGGGGAGCACCGACGCCCGGACCAGACCUUCUGUGACGGAUCCGCGGUAGAGCAUGUAUGUUGGGACCCGAAAGAUGGUGAACUAUGCCUGAAUAGGGUGAAGCCAGAGGAAACUCUGGUGGAGGCUCGUAGCGAUUCUGACGUGCAAAUCGAUCGUCGAAUUUGGGUAUAGGGGCG
rnacentral:rRNA from 1 species